CCUACGGGAGGCAGCAGUGGGGAAUUUUGGACAAUGGGGGCAACCCUGAUCCAGCCAUGCCGCGUGCGGGAAGAAGGCCUUCGGGUUGUAAACCGCUUUUGUCAGGGAAGAAAUCCUUUGAACUAAUACUUCGGAGGGAUGACGGUACCUGAAGAAUAAGCACCGGCUAACUACGUGCCAGCAGCCGCGGUAAUACGUAGGGUGCAAGCGUUAAUCGGAAUUACUGGGCGUAAAGCGUGCGCAGGCGGUUAUGCAAGACAGAUGUGAAAUCCCCGGGCUCAACCUGGGAACUGCAUUUGUGACUGCAUAGCUAGAGUACGGUAGAGGGGGAUGGAAUUCCACGUGUAGCAGUGAAAUGCGUAGAUAUGUGGAGGAACACCGAUGGCGAAGGCAAUCCCCUGGACCUGUACUGACGCUCAUGCACGAAAGCGUGGGGAGCAAACAGGAUUAGAUACCCUGGUAGUCCACGCCCUAAACGAUGUCAACUGGUUGUUGGGAGGGUUUCUUCUCAGUACGUAGCUAACGCGUGAAGUUGACCGCCUGGGGAGUACGGCCGCAAGGUUGAAACUCAAAUGAAUUGAGCUGNGAGNGCGAGGACGACGACGAGGGAGGAGG
rnacentral:rRNA from 1 species